GUCUACCACCAUACCACCCUGAACAUACCCUAUCUCGUCUGAUCUCAGAAGCAAAGCAGGGUCUGGCCUGGUUAGUACUUGAAUGGGAGAAAGUAUACCUGGAUAACUUGUAAUCU
ensembl:rRNA 5S_rRNA 5S ribosomal RNA